GGGGCGGGGCUUCAAACGCGUCACGGGGGUGGUCACGUCGGCGGCGCGCGGGCGCGCGGGCGGGCGGCGCGCUAGGGUGAGGUGCUCCGCGGGGAGAUGGGGUCCCCGGUCGCGCGCGCUGAGACGGGCUAGGGGCGGGGCUUCAAGCGUGUCCCGGGGGCGUGGUCAUGGCGGCGGCGCGCAAGGAGGAGGCGCCCGACACGGGCAGGCGGGGCUUCGGUCGCGCGUCUGACUAUGUCCGCUCGGCUGGAGCUGGAUCCGCGGUCAGCAGAAGCCGCUGUCCUCAUGGGUGUGAAGUGGCCCUGAUUUGCAUCUCCCUAAUGACUAACUGAGACACUGUGAUUUAUGGUAAGGAAUGGAUUUUUGACCUUUGUUCCUGUUCCUGGCACAGAGAGGAGGUCAAUCCAUCUUAGCCACACGGACGAGUCCCCUCUGCUCUGUUGUCCUCUCUACAGAUGACUUUUGUCUCUUUGUUGUCCUUUCCUGGAGAGUUAACCAAGUAUGCCUCCCAUCAUUGAUCAUUGAUCCAUUUCCCCAGCAUUGGCCUGCCCUGUGCCUUUGUGCAUUUAUUAUUCCUUUUUGCCUGUGCUGGGUCUUCACUGCUGCACGUGGGCUUCUCUAGUUGAGGGAGCGGAUGCUGCUCUGUGGCAGUGUGCAGGCUUCUCACUGCAGUGCCUCCUCUUGUGGAGCGCUGGCUCUAGGUGUCCGAGCUUCAGUAGCUGCGGUGCACGGGCUCAGUAGCUGUGGUUUGCGGGCCCUGGAGCACUGGCUCGGUAUUUGUGGGGCAAGGGUUGAGUUGCUCGGCUGCAUGUAGACAAUUCCCAGAUCGGAGAUUGAACCCGUGUCCCCUGCAGUGACAAGUGGAUUCUUAAUCGCUAGGCCACCUUAGGACUUUUUCAUUUGGGGUCAAAGGUGCCAUUUACUGCAUUUUCCUAAGCAGGUGGAUUUUUUUGCCCCCUGGAAAAGUUUCUUUAAAUCCUACAGUUGGUUCCCAGUACCAUGUUUAUCCCAAGUCUGCUGGAUAUUAUUCCUUCUUUCUCAGCAGGAUUUUUCCAGAGGCCCAUUUACUCAAGCAGAGCAAACUGUUGAGACGCGGCACCUGUCACUGAAGGGUGGGGGUCUGUUGGCCCGGGUGGCCUGGGCUGGCCGGCGUUUCCCGCCCCCAGGCAGGGGCCUGUCCUGAGCAGGCUUGCCUCUGGCGGACUCAUGCUCUCAAGCUCCCGCUGCAUCUACCUACCGUCAAUCAUCACAUCGUAAGAACUGACUCAGUCACGCCUGCAGCGAAGAUGAGGCCCUGUGCUCCAGGAGCUGACCGAUGCCCGGACAGGCAGAAAUAGACACAUGGGCAGGUACAGACCUCCCCUGGUGCUUCUGGAAGCCUGGGAGAGGUGAGGACACUGCAAGACUGUCCACGGGCCUGUGAGACCGGCCGGCCACACGGGGGCACCACCUGAACUGAAUCCAGAAGGAAGCCCCAGGAGGGACGCUGAUGCUGGGGGUGGGAUGGGCCUCCCCACAGCAGGAAAGCCAGGGUCCUGGGUGCAGCAGCAGGCAGAAAGAUGGGCCCAGCUGCCGUGGGCUCUGGAUGCCAGGCUGGUGCCUCCUCUGGAGGCGCGGGAAGGCUGUAGGAAGCCCCAGUGGCCACGCGUUGGGAGGGUGUGGGGCCGCUGCCCUGUGUCUGCUCCGGUCUCAGCGGGUGUGUGGCAGCUCCCCACCGCUGUUCUGCAGGGACUGCGGUCUGUGUCACACCCUGGUCACUGGUCCUGCCAGACACGUGGCAGUGACACUGUGCUCACCCAGGACACAGGCGUCAUUUCUCAGACUCUUGAGGCCGAAGCGUGUAGGGGCAGGAAGCAAGACUGUUCCUCCCGAGCGCUGCACCCAGCUAGUGGCACCCACCCUCAUCCAGGGGAGGGGACGGGAGGACGCAGAUGAACAGGGCUACUGACGCUGGAGUGAAUUCCAUUUUUCUUUGGCUCACUGGGCCCCAGCUGCAGUGCGUGGGAUCUCUGAUCUUCACUGCGGCGUGCAGGACCUUCGGCUGCAGCACGUGGGAUCUAGUUCCCUGACCAGGGAUCGAACCCAGGCGCCCUGAACUGGGAGCGUGCAGCUGUCGCCACUGGAGCACCACGGAAGGCCCGGAAUACAUUUCAGAAAGAGCCGUCGGAUAACCAACGAUGUAAGCAAAAUGAUCUUUCGCCAUCAAGCACCAUGCGUGGCCUGUGGAACGACUGCAGGGCCUCCCCGGGGUCACACAGGGGCGAGCAUCCCGGGCCGUGAGCUGUGGGGAUGCCGACCCUCUCCCCGGGCCCCCGACCACCAUCUGGCCUGGUCUGCAGAGCACAGGCCUGUCCAUAGUCUCUCCUCCAGCACUGGGAACUCUUACAAAACCAAUGAUUUAACUGCCCGUAAGUUUAAAAAAGACAAAAAGCCAAAACACCAGUGAAUUUACCAGAAGAACUCUGGCCCAGUGUGACUGGUGAUCAAAGUGAAAAAGCCCUAAGAGGGAUUUUAAAAAAGAGAUGAUAAUCAGUGCUUUACACAGCUUGACACGAGGAAGCAGAUAUCCUUAACAGUGCAAGGUCCCCAAAUGCCUCCAUCUCUGGGUUUCUUGAAGAACAUUUGCCCAACCACAUUCUUUCGGUAAGUCACUGUGGUAACCUGGGGAACCCCAGGGCAUGAGCGAGAACUCCAGCAGGAGAUGUGGAUUCCUCUGAACUGGCCCCUCCAAUCUGCUGGAUUUGUUUGAGGCAGGGCUAUAGGAGCAGGGAAGGAGAGGUGAGACCGGUUUCCCCAUUUCCCAAGUUCUUCAGCAAAGGAAAAGGAAAACAUUAUUUUACUAUGUAUCAAUAGCAUUUUACUACACACACUUUAUGAACUUGUAGCAAACCUGACUUUCCAAGAUUAAACAUUUUUAAGUGGAUGGAAGUGAAAUGACCCUGGAACAGACUGUACCAGCCGUGAAAGGAUCUUGUUAAAGCUGCAGUUGUUGGUUAACGCCUUGUUGGACUUCUUAUAUGAAAAAAGUUCUGCUUGACUUGAUCAUCCCAGCAAAAGAUCCCAUGGCAACCAGAAUUUUUUUCCCACAGCAGGUCAAGAAAGAAAGAAGGGUGGGGUAACAGAGCAGCCCAGGCUUGUCCCCUGAAGACACGUGACACAUCAUGGUGGUCACCACCACCUGAGAGUUUGGCCUCUGAGAGAAUUUUGCUAAGCUUCAGAGUCCAGCAAGUCGGUUCAAUCUGUUUCUGGUGCCUCUGCCACCAGAUGUCCUGAGACCAGACUUGGGACUCUGCUGAGACUGGCCCGGCUGCGGCCACACCGUAGGGAAGGCCUACUCCCUCCUGGAACCAUGACGUCUUCCUUUGAGUCCCCAGGAAUGGAACAAGGGCAGAGGAAAAUAUGCAUGGAACACUGAGACUGGCAAAUAUGAAGGGACGUGUUCCUUUCAAAGACGACAUUCAAAGUGUUAGCUACUGCAAAUAGUCUGAAUAGCACAGUCUUCCCACAAAUCUCGUACUGCAGACUUCUCCCACAUGUGCACUACCCAGUUUAGUCUGAGUGCCAGAGGUCAGACAGGCAGGCCUCUGGGGUUUUCAGGGCUUAGAGAGAAGAGCAGGUAAAGCAGGGCAUCUCGUGAAGUUACCCAAGACCCUGCUCCCUGAGGCUGGCAUUGGGCAACACAGACACAGCAGCUGAAAAGCACACCAGGACCCGACAUCCCGGGCUGCAGGGAGAGACACGGCCAGGAGGUCAGUGCUCAGCACCUGAGUAAUGCUGGCCCUGGCUCCUCCCAGAGGCAGCAUGCAGGCGGUCUGUCCGAGGGAAGGAGAGAGGGGAGAUGCGGGCUUCUCCUCCUGCCAGGGCUACCCUGGAGCCAUCUCCACAUAGUGUGCCUGAAAACCACGUAGCUGAUGCGUGCAAUUCUAAGCAGCAGUGGCAUGGGGACACAGCACCACCCCAGCUGGCUCCAGGGCCGUUGGGGUACCCAGAGGCCCAGCAGCCCCACCCCUGGCAGAUCAGCCAUCACCAACUGCCCUGGGUUGGCAGGCACAGGCACCACAGGCAGAAGUGUUACUGUGGCCUAAGGGUGCGAAAAGACCCCAAGACGCCAAAGUCCCAGAGGUCAGCGUCCCACAGGCACCAAAAGCUGCUGCGGGGCCCACUGGCAGGCACCCAAGACGGCACCAUGGGCCAUGGGCCAAGCUGGGUGAGCUCCUUAACAAGAUGGGGUGGGGUUGGGGGCAGGAUGCCUCUGAGGGAGGGCCACCGGACAGAAAGGGAUGAUCCAGAAUGUGGGAGUGUCACUUUUGAAGAACUGCUUGACCCCUGAUGAGCAGAGACCUGUGUGAGGUCAGAACCGACAGGGAGCCUUAUCCCGUUCACUCUGUCCAGCAAGCAGUCUUUGCCCCGCAUUACCCAUGUUUCAUUUCUUCCACCUCCAGCUGCACUCCCGGGCGGGCUGCCUGCACAGCUAUGGGGUGUGACCUAGGGAGUCGGGCGGGAGCUGGCAGGGAGCAGUGUGCCCCAGGGCAUGUGGACUGCCGGCUGCUGCUCUCCUGACCCGCCUAGCAGAGGGGAGCUCUGUGGUCUGUGAGGGAGUUCCUGUGAUACUUUGACACUGGGCUCCAGUUAGAAGUAUGUGACUGGGGUCCCUCUCCCAGGACGCUUGUCCUGACAGGCCUGGUCAGAGAUGCCAACCUCCCCCCCACCCUCUGCUCCGUGCACCAGACACAGUGGCCUAGCAGCUGGGUCACCCUCCUGUCUAAUGGGCAGGGUUCCUAAUGACCAGUGGGAAGUGUGGCCCCAAUUCCUUCCUGGACUGAUCUCAUAAUCAGAGACAAUGCUAUCAACUAAGAGGAACCAACCAGACCAGGCAGAUGGCAGAUGGGGCAGUCCAGAGGCCUGAGGAAGCUGUCAGUUAAACUUGAACGUGUCAGGCACGCAGCAGAGGAAACUAUUUGAUUCCAGCUGUCCCAAUGUCUAACGCCAGAGUAAACCCACUCACCUCUUUUCCCUGUUCUUACUCCAAAGUGUGCCACCUCUGACUCCUGGCCCGCCAAGGAUUAGGAGAACCGUCCUGGAGACCCAGGGGCCUGGGAGCACGGGAAUACCCCCAAAUCCCGCCAAUACCUCUGAGGGCUACAGGUGCGGUGUCAGGGCCUCAGGCUGCUGCCUGAGGUCUCCCUCCCGGCCCCAGAACAUAAGGCUCCCUGCACACUGGCUCACAGGCGUGUCACCACGCAGGAGCACCAAGCCCCCAGGUGGGCUGGGCUGCAGCCAGGGUCCUCCGGGCAGCACACGACCUUGCUUUUCUUUUAAAUCUUCCAGAUCUAGCUGCAAGGGCUCCCGAAGCUUCUUUGCCCCAUCUGGACCUGGAAAUGGGCUGAUUUUUUAAAACCCAGAUUCUUGGCGUAUUUGGACACAAUGAAUACUGUGCCUUUCAUAUUUUCUUUGUAUUUCUCCAUAGUUGCUUGACCCAACAUCUGUCUGCUCUAUACAAUGAAAAUACAAACUAAAUGAGAAUAGAAAAAAAUAAUUAAAGCAUUAAAUCGUACAAAUUACAAAUCUGUUCCAAAAUAUACUUACAUUAAAUAAAAUACGCAUUUCAGUAAGAGA